rnacentral:misc_RNA from 1 species
AACCAUUCUCACCUGCGGCUAGACCUGCGGAAGGAUCAUUAAAAAAAUCUUUUGCCCGCGGACCUUUUGUCGUCCAAGGCGCAAAAAGACCCACACCUGUGUGCACUGUUAUCGUUUCUUUGGCAGGGGCUUGGGUGGAAUUUUUUUUCCCUCAACUUCUCCUUCGGCUCUAUCCUUUCUCUCGGGGGGAGGACAGCUGGACAUGGGAAGCAGUUUACCCUGCCAAGUAAACCUCAAACA